GACUGCAGUCAGACCAUUGGAGAGAAUCAUAAAGGGCAAGGGAAAGAAGGAAGGACAGGUCACAUGUUAAGAGAGGAAAAGGAGAUAAAGCCAGGAUGGCUUCAGCUACUGACUCCUUGUGGAAACAAAGCUUCUAUUAGCCCAUAGAAAAUGAGAAGUCUCCGAGGAUACUGAAAAAGGUUAUCAUGUGUUCAAGUCUUUAGACUCAAGGAUCAUAAAAGACUAUUGAGAGAUGAAAAGAAGAAGAAACCAUGAAAUGGAUGAUGUGGUCCCUAGGAGAUUCUGGAGCUGAAAGCAUGGUAUUCUUAAAGAGGGAGGAAGCAACAGAGUCCUUCCUAAGGAUGGAAAUGAAUGGGGUUAGGAUCAAUUGGAAGCUAAAAUAUGGAAUGAAAAAUAAAACAUCAUUUAUGCCAACUAUUCAAUGAUGCAGAUUUUCCUCAAUACCAAACUCCCCAUCCAGUCAUCAGAAUUUUGCUCCUGAGAAAGAGAAGAUCGUGAAUGAUAACAGAGAUGAUCUACAAACAAAAUCAAUACAAGAAUCAGCAGAGAAAUUCUCAUACCAGGAGAAAAUCUUUUCUUCAAAUAUCUCAGAUAAAAGUUUGAUAUCCAAGAUUUUAGAAGGGCAGAGGGAAUAGAAAACUGGCCUUGGAAUGAGAAAGACUGAGAUUCAAGCAUUGACCCUGAUAGGUAUCAGUUGUGAGACCUUAGUGUUCCAGACAACUAUGACUAUAAAUGGCAAAGAUGUUUUCUCAUCUAG
rnacentral:lncRNA from 1 species